CCCAGUUCCGAACCCGUCG
rnacentral:snRNA from 1 species